GACGAACGCUGGCGGCGUGCCUAAUACAUGCAAGUAGAACGCACAGUUUAUACCGUAGCUUGCUACACCAUAAACUGUGAGUUGCGAACGGGUGAGUAACGCGUAGGUAACUUGCCUGGUAGCGGGGGAUAACUAUUGGAAACGAUAGCUAAUACCGCAUAAUAUUGAUUAUUGCAUGAUAAUUGAUUGAAAGAUGCUAUUGCAUCACUACCAGAUGGACCUGCGUUGUAUUAGCUAGUAGGUGAGGUAACGGCUCACCUAGGCGACGAUACAUAGCCGACCUGAGAGGGUGAUCGGCCACACUGGGACUGAGACACGGCCCAGACUCCUACGGGAGGCAGCAGUAGGGAAUCUUCGGCAAUGGACGAAAGUCUGACCGAGCAACGCCGCGUGAGUGAAGAAGGUUUUCGGAUCGUAAAGCUCUGUUGUAAGAGAAGAACGGGUGUGAGAGUGGAAAGUUCACACUGUGACGGUAUCUUACCAGAAAGGGACGGCUAACUACGUG
rnacentral:rRNA from 1 species